rnacentral:antisense_RNA from 1 species
UUUGAUCGACCCGAGCCACAGCGGCCGGUCGGCCGGACGCCCCUGCCCGUAGGUUGCCAGAAGCGCUUGUGCCUC